AUAAUAAUCCAUAAAAUCACAUUUAAUUUUUACAAUAAGAUUCACAUUAGUAGUGACAUUUUUACGUGACUUUUUAAGUGAAAAAAAAACACAGCUGCUAUAUAUGAAUUAAAAACGAAUUUCUUAAUUCUAUAAAUGCAUAAUCUAAUUUUUCUUAAAAAUAGCCUAAUUUUUGUGUGAUGGCGAGAACAUAUUUAUGGGAAAUAUAUAAAAUAUAAUGUAUAAAAAAUAUAGAAAUUUAAUGUUUUGGAUUUUAUUCUAUUUUACUCUAUUUUAUUUGUGCACAGAUAAAAAAUAAAUAACAAUAGAAUACAAUGUGGGGGAUAGGCAAAACAACUGUUAAGGGCUUAUUUAUUUAUUUCACCUGAACAAUAUUUAAUUAAAUUAUCUUAAUUUACAAUUCUGUAUCCUGUUUGCAACUUCAAUUACAAUUCAGUUCAGUAUUCAAUAUUGGCUCAAUAUUGGCUUCACUUCAGCACAACUACUAUUAUUACUGCCAGAAUUAUGGGAAAUGUAGUUUUUCUGUAAGUAUGAUCAUUCCAACAUGACUUGAGGUGCUUCAUGCAGUAAAACUCAGUUUACACUCGGACCAAAUACAGAAACCACUAGUCAAGUCAAAUCGAAGUCACACUCGAUUUGUUUCAGGGGUUUGAGACCAGAAUUACAUGUGAACACUCUAAAUGAACCCCUUUAUACUCAAACAAACUCAACAGCCUUUAUGCUGCAUACUCAUAUUUAAUAUUCAAUUCAUGCAUAAAUAAGAGGAAAUUAUAUAAAACUCAAUAUGAUGUUGUAUCUGACCAGGUAUCGGAGUCCGCUUUCUAAUGCAGUGUAAAAGUUCUUAUUCACUUCACCUAAAGGUGCACUAUGUAAGAAUUUUGCAGUAAAAUAUCCAAAAACCACUAGGCCAGUGUUAUAUAUUUUGUUUAGUUGAUUACUUACAAUAUCCCAAACGUUUCAAACUAUUUGGAGAUCGUGAGAAAAUUGAGAUUUUAACCAAGGAGCCAGUCGCCAGUCAAUGACAUCAUAUCCGCGUUACCCUCGGUUUCCGCGCGCACUGCCAUAGUAACCAUGGCGACAGACGUGGACAACAGCGUUACGGCUAGCGGCGCGCUCACACUGUUGUUGUUUUGUUCAAACAUUUUGGACCAUGGCAAGCAGACUUUGGGUCAAAAGGAGAACUAAACCGAGGAUCAAUAUCGUUUUCGAGGUGCUGAGAGCUAGCGUCCGCGACUAACCUCGACUUGACAGAGACGCGAGCGCCGUCUCUGUCAAGAGUGUUUAUGUACUUUAUUAGAAAGGUGAGCAAAUGUACAUAAAACUAAUCAAUGUUAUAUAGCUCAACAUGAUGACAUGUUAGAAUAUGAUCUGUAUGUUAUUCUAAUGUUGAUAUAGCGCACUGCUAGUCUCAUACAGACAACAAACUAACGCAUAGAAUAACAUUCAACACACUCGCGCGGCGCGCCCCGCUUCACACCACAGUCAUGAUAAAAACAUCAAUGUAUUCACUCAUACAUAAACAUUAUUAGAUCCAUCAGCUUGACAACAAGUUCCAUAAUUCCGCUUAAUGCUUUGCGUCAUCAACCUACGCCUUUGUUGUUGUAAGAGGUUAGCGACCCCUAGCGGCGAAAAAAUGACAUAGUGCACCUUUAAAGGGAGAGUUUCGGAUCUUGUAAAGACGAAAACUAAGUGUAAAGUGUGAAAGCUAAGAUAUUCAGGGCUGUUUUUCAUCUUUUGGUUAUUUCUGUGAUUUCUGUGGAUAAAUGAAUCAAACACCGA